UGGGACAUGGUGUAACUGGAAACACACCCCGACUCCAAAUCGGGGAGACGCGGGUUCGAUUCCUGCUGGCUCAG
rnacentral:tRNA from 1 species